UACGUAGGGUGCGAGCGUUAAUCGGAAUUACUGGGCGUAAAGCGUGCGCAGGCGGUUAUGUAAGACAGAUGUGAAAUCCCAGGGCUCAACCUUGGAACUGCAUUUGUGACUGCAUAGCUAGAGUACGGUAGAGGGGGAUGGAAUUCCGCGUGUAGCAGUGAAAUGCGUAGAUAUGCGGAGGAACACCGAUGGCGAAGGCAAUCCCCUGGGCCUGUACUGACGCUCAUGCACGAAAGCGUGGGGAGCAAACAGG
rnacentral:rRNA from 1 species